rnacentral:rRNA from 1 species
UACGUAGGCGGAAGAUUAAGUCAGUGGUGAAAUCCUGCAGCUUAACUGUAGAACUGUCAUUGAUACUGGUUUUCUUGAAUAUAGUUGAGGUAGGCGGAAUGUGUAAUGUAGCGGUGAAAUGCUUAGAUAUUACACAGAACACCGAUUGCGAAGGCAGCUUACUAAGCUAUGAUUGACGCUGAGGUACGAAAGCGUGGGGAGCGAACAGGAUUAGAUACCCUGGUAGUC